rnacentral:rRNA from 1 species
UAGAGUUUGAUCAUGGCUCAGAUUGAACGCUGGCGGCAGGCCUAACACAUGCAAGUCGAGCGGAAACGACACUAACAAUCCUUCGGGUGCGUUAAUGGGCGUCGAGCGGCGGACGGGUGAGUAAUGCCUAGGAAAUUGCCUUGAUGUGGGGGAUAACCAUUGGAAACGAUGGCUAAUACCGCAUGAUGCCUACGGGCCAAAGAGGGGGACCUUCGGGCCUCUCGCGUCAAGAUAUGCCUAGGUGGGAUUAGCUAGUUGGUGAGGUAAUGGCUCACCAAGGCGACGAUCCCUAGCUGGUCUGAGAGGAUGAUCAGCCACACUGGAACUGAGACACGGUCCAGACUCCUACGGGAGGCAGCAGUGGGGAAUAUUGCACAAUGGGCGAAAGCCUGAUGCAGCCAUGCCGCGUGUAUGAAGAAAGCCUUCGGGUUGUAAAGUACUUUCAGUUGUGAGGAAGGGUGUGUAGUUAAUAGCUGCGCAUCUUGACGUUAGCAACAGAAGAAGCACCGGCUAACUCCGUGCCAGCAGCCGCGGUAAUACGGAGGGUGCGAGCGUUAAUCGGAAUUACUGGGCGUAAAGCGCAUGCAGGUGGUUCAUUAAGUCAGAUGCGAAAGCCCGGGGCUCAACCUCGGAACUGCAUUUGAAACUGGUGAACUAGAGUGCUGUAGAGGGGGGUAGAAUUUCA